rnacentral:lncRNA from 1 species
GUCCAGACAAGACGCGAUAAAUCGAACCCAGAAGUUCGAUUGCCUGCCGCCGAACCAGCGCGGUAAGUAUAGACAAACCCUUAGUCUAACUAUAUAUAAUCAAACUUUGAAGAUGGCACUUGUGGGAGUGCAGGGUUUUGUUUUACCUAGAUCUACAACAGCCCUCCUGCUAGUAAUCUGAGCAGGAAUAAUCAUUUGAGAGGGAAGCUAAUUAAAUUAAAAAGACGACCAAACUGGAGGGAUAAAGCUUUUGAUGAAGAAGGACUGGGGAAGCAUAUAGGGAUGGGGAGGAAGGCACAUAUCUCUUUGAAUCAUCAGUGUCUCAGGGCAAGGUUGCUUCAGCCAUAGACAUGGAUGCUGCUUGUGAAUUUAAAACCAAAGACAAUCAAGAUCUUGGAGAGAAAGAGAAGAUUCUUCCAGUGGCCGGGUGAGGAAGUUGCCUCUCAGCAAGGACAAAAGGGAAAUGAGGGAAAUUUUACAAGAAAAUUUUCAUUUUAGUUAAAAAGCCAUUUUCCACCAAAACAUUUUUCAGUGAAAAAAUUUGAACUGACUAAAAUACCCUGACCUCAGUCCUGAGGAACAGCCUAAAGCUGGAAACGGGGGAA